GUAGACCCACCCAUCCAUCUCCUCACCAGUGUGCUCUCCACUGCUGUCUUUCUUCAUCAUCCUUAAGCUCGUUAUAGUCCUGGAUUUUAGUGGGUGCUAAAGCCAAGGACUAGAUUUGAAGCCUCUUUUCUGCCCACCUGCUGCUCUUUCUUCCUCCCUCCUAGCUGCAGACAUCAAACUGUUGCUGGCCAGGGCAGUUGCAGGCUGGCCCAGGGCAGACCCAACUGAGGGCAAUGGUCCUUAGAGCUAUGGCCACCCUGACGUGGAUGCCUGGUGAGAGGCUUGUGAACAGAGAAGACUAACUGUGGAGAUGCUGACCCAUUUAGCUUUUACCUGUCCCAGGAUGGUUGGAGAUCUCUGGGAGAGAGAGAGAGGUAAUGAGGACUCAGUUUUGACCAAGGCAAGCUUCUACUAUGGUUCAAAUCCCGGUCACCCAUCUCCCACCUGGUUGGUUGCAUCAACCUCCUCAUCAGUCUCCAGGAUUCAAGUCUGUUUGUGCCCCACCAGCCUUGGUGUGUGCUGCCAGAUGAGUCUUUCCAAAACAGCGUUUUGUCAGCCUCCUGUACCUGUUCUGAAAUAUUUGUAAGCACAUUUCCUCAGCCCUCACCACGCACUGUGGACAAACAGGACCGCAUAUUCAUAAUCAUGACCCACUUGUCUCUGACUUCUGCCUCUGUUUGCUUACAUGGGACCUUGGUCUCUUCCAGAGUGCACCCCAAGUAGUUCCAGGAACCCCCAGGGCAGUGUUGCUGAAAGUGGCUCUGUGCACCAGCGCCAAUCUGUGCACGUUGCUAUGAUCUGCGAUGACAUUAGCACAUACAUGGAGAAUAAGUUGAACUUUCAUUUCUGUGACCUCUAGCAGAUGGGAUUUUUUUUUUUUUUUUUUUUAGUUUUACAAAACAAAUAAACAAACAAGCAACAGAAACAAAAGACACCUGGCCCUUCACAGAUCAUUUGAGCCCUGCCCUAGGGUGUGUCAUACCCAAUCAAGUCUGGCUCCUCCAUGCACUCCUGCCUCACCUCCCUGCUAUCCACUGGCAGCUCCUGGAGCUGUUUUUUCAGGAAAUCAGUCCCUACUGCCUCUCUUCCUGGAGCACAGCUAUCCAGAGUGUUCAUGUGAGAAACAGUUUGCUUUAAAAAUACUGCUGCAAUUCAGAAUAUCCACUUUUGACAUUAAAUUAGGACUCAUAUUUAAA
rnacentral:lncRNA from 1 species